GAUGAACGCUGGCGGCGUGCCUAACACAUGCAAGUCGAGCGGAGAUAGACUGAAAUAGCGAUACGUAGGGAUAUCUUAGCGGCGGACGGGUGAGUAACACGUGAGGAACCUGCCUUUUACUGGGGAAUAACAGCGUGAAAACGUUGCUAAUACCGCAUAACGUUGCACCAUGGCAUCAUGGAGCAACCAAAGGAGCAAUCCGGUAAAAGAUGGCCUCGCGUCCGAUUAGUUAGUUGGUGGGGUAAUGGCCUACCAAGACAGCGAUCGGUAGCCGGACUGAGAGGUCGAACGGCCACAUUGGAACUGAGAGACGGUCCAGACUCCUACGGGAGGCU
rnacentral:rRNA from 1 species